AGCAACUUAGUUCAAUGGUAGAACAGAGCGCAUAUGGUUAAACAAGGGCUUAAGAAGAUGGUUCGAUUCCAUCAGUUGCUG
rnacentral:tRNA from 1 species